rnacentral:lncRNA from 1 species
UUAGCAAAAUCUCUUGCUGUGUCGGUAUUUCCAGAAGGUCCUUAGCACUCACCAGGAACAGUGGUUGCCUCUAGGAAUGAAAUGGGAUGACGGAAGACCUGGGGAGCAGUGGCAGGAGGAGACACUCAUGAUGCGCCUUUUGGCCAUAGGAGGAGGGAGAGGAGAAAUGAGGAAAAAAAGCCAAAUUUUUUCCUUCAAAGUCACUGUCAUGGCUAAGAAAGCAACUCCAACCCACACACUGCAAAUAUGAAGGACCACAAAAGGCACGCAGGCUCUGGUUUGCAUAGUGAAGAUGAGCGACCGUGUUCCUAAGCAUGAAGGACCAUGAAAGGCACGCAGGCUCUGGUUUGCAUAGUGAAGAUGAGCGACCGUGUUCCUAAGCAUGAAGGACCACGAAAGGCAUGCAGGCUCUGGUUUGCAUAGUGUGGAUGAGCGACUGUGUCCCUAAGCAUGAAGGACCACGAAAGGCAUGCAGGCUCUGGUUUGCGUAGUGAAGAUGAGUGUCUGUUCCUAAGCAUGAAGGAGGACCACAUGAGGAUCCUGGACACCUACUGCAUGAAUGUAUUCACCCUUUCAGGUCUAGGGACCUGGUAACCAUUUAUUAUUUGUACUCUGAUUUUCUUCCAUUUCUUUCUCCAGUCCAUAAAUGUAACUUAAGUGACUUAUUAACACUGAUGGUUUGAUCACCAAUAGCAAGUUCCAGUUUCAGUCUUAGUGUAGGUGCCCUUAUUACAGACUUGAGAUAAAGUCCAAGGCUAACCACUCUUACAAGUUUACACUUUGCUAAAGGGUACCUUGGGACAGAGGGAGUGCAGAGCAGAGAAAACCUACCUGUGCAACUGAGAAGGCCGCUCAGGCCACGGGGACAGGGCAGGAAUGCUCUCAGGAGUGUCCCCUGCACCUGAACUUGAUUUCACGCCAUCACCUUCCGCCUCUUAACCAGCAUCUCCUGGACAGUCAGCCGAGUGUUUCCAUGAUACCAGCCAUACCUGAUGCCAGGAGACUCGCUACACUUGGAAGCUCUUCAAGGCAUGCUUAUCUUUGUGAACUGAAUCUUGGAGAAGCAGGAUUGAAAAUAAGAGCUAUCUUUGAGGCUCUAGCACCUACAAGAGACACCCUCCCUCUCCACCGUGGAUCACCUGUCUCACCCGUGUGAGUCUCCACACAGAAACCAGUCAUGGCCCUGCCUUUGCCCCCCUUGAAAUCACCCAAGAGGAUGCUUCAAACUCAGGCAAGCACAACUGAUACUCACUCUGCAUGCGACAGCAGGGGAGUGACCUUACGAGAAACUAAUGGGCCUCGCUUCCUGAGAAUCACUGUCAGAGCCCGUAACAUAAGAUAAAUCACAGCCAAGGAUUUUUGAAAAGUUUCCUGAUGAGAGAACCAUGACCUUUUCAAGGGUAGUGAUGGAUUGAUCAGGGCAAGCAAUAGGUAGAUUUUUUAAAACAAGCCUGGCGAAAAAAACAAUGAUAUAUAUCUACCAAAGUUGGCUGGAAUACCCGGCUGGUGUCCCAGUCAGGAAACACAGGAAAAGGUUACAUCUGUAGAAAGAAAAACAGCUUGUUAAGCAAAACAAUGCAGUUAAAAACCAAGCUCACUGUAAGAAAUGCCGCGUGGGCCAGUGGGGACGGCCAUGCCGAAAGCGCUCAGUGCUCCUGAAGCUGGGUGGCCAGGUGUUUUCACACAAAAAGGCCUU